rnacentral:rRNA from 1 species
GACGAACGCUGGCGGCGUGCUUAACACAUGCAAGUCGAACGGAAAGGCCCUGCUUUUGUGGGGUGCUCGAGUGGCGAACGGGUGAGUAACACGUGAGUAACCUGCCCUUGACUUUGGGAUAACUUCAGGAAACUGGGGCUAAUACCGGAUAGGAGCUCCUGCUGCAUGGUGGGGGUUGGAAAGUUUCGGCGGUUGGGGAUGGACUCGCGGCUUAUCAGCUUGUUGGUGGGGUAGUGGCUUACCAAGGCUUUGACGGGUAGCCGGCCUGAGAGGGUGACCGGCCACAUUGGGACUGCGAUACGGCCCAGUCUCCUACGGGAGGCAGCAGUGGGGAAUAUUGCACAGUGGGCGGAAGCCUGAUGCAGCAACGCCGCGUGCGGGAUGACGGCCUUCGGGUUGUGAACCGCUUUCGCCUGUGACGAAGCGUGAGUGACGGUAAUGGGUAAAGAAGCACCGGCUAACUACGUG